UACGUAGGGUGCGAGCGUUAAUCGGAAUUACUGGGCGUAAAGCGUGCGCAGGCGGUGGCACAAGUCAGGUGUGAAAUCCCCGAGCUUAACUUGGGAAUUGCAUUUGAAACUAGGUCGCUAGAGUUUGGAAGAGGGGGGUAGAAUUCCACGUGUAGCAGUGAAAUGCGUAGAGAUGUGGAGGAAUACCGAUGGCGAAGGCGGCUACCUGGACCAAGACUGACGCUGAGGCACGAAAGCGUGGGGAGCAAACAGG
rnacentral:rRNA from 1 species